UCGAACUCCUAUAUGACCCCAUCCUACCCUCGAUCACUCAUUUCUCGAGAAGAAGUAAAAAUUCUGUAAAUUUUUACUAUAACUUUUUCCCACCGCAUCAGUGGGUUCCUACACUAUAUACAUGAUUGCUGAACUGGAAAUAUAACUAAAAUAACUCUAUUUCCGAUAUAGAGACAACUCAUUCUUUUUUGCAGAAUUCAUGAAAAUUCAGACACCGGGUGGAGUUCAAUAUCUAAAUUUCUUUCCACAGCUUUAUUUAUUUAUUUGUUUCUGCGAAAUCUACCCACUACAACGCGUGGAUGCCUUCACUAGUAAAAUAUAAUAUUAUAACAAAUUUUAUUUCGCUGCAACGCGUGGAUGCCUUCGCUAGUAAAAUAUAAUAUUAUAACAAAUUUUUAUUAUACAUAAUAUAUUAAUUUUGUUAAAAUAAGUUAUAUUUUUUAUAUGAAUGGAAAUUAGUAAAAUUUUUAAGAGAAAGUUCAUAUAUUUUAAGAAAAAAAUUCUUUACCACACAUAAUUUAUUUAGGGUUAAUUGCAUACACAUCCCUACAAAUAUGGUGAAUUGCAGAUAUAUCCCUGCAAAGCUCAACUUUUAUAAGUUAUCCCUGAAAAGUCCCAAUAUAUUCAGAUAUGUCCCUACCGUUAGAGUUCGUUAGAAAAAUUUCGUUAACUACAGUUAAAAUACUUUACCAGGAUUAAUUAAUAAUGUGAAUUGACAAUUUUGCUCUUCUUCUUCUUCCUCUUCAUCUCCUGCUUCUUCUUCUUUCUCUUCUUCUCCAUAUCCUCCUUUUCCUCCUCCUUUUCUCCUCCUUCUUCAUCUUCUUCUUCGUCAUUGUCGAUGAUCCGAUCGUCAUCGUCGUU
rnacentral:lncRNA from 1 species